UCCCUGCCCUUUGUACACACCGCC
rnacentral:ncRNA from 9 species